AUGGAGAAGCUGCCGUGGUCCGCGGAGUCGUCGUCGCAGGGUGCGGUCCCGGAGCGGUUCUUCAUGCGGCUGGCAGCGGCGUCCCCGACGCUGGUAUCGCUGCCCGUCAUCGACCUCUCCCGCGGCCGCGACGAGGUCCGCCAGGCCGUGCUCCACGCCGGCAAGGAGCUCGGCUUCUUCCAGGUACGUACGUACGUGCAUUUAUCCGGCAAGAAGCUGCUGCCCCUUUCUAUCGCAGUUUUUUUUUUGAACGGUCACCGGGAGGAGAAAGUCCCCGCCUGA
rnacentral:rRNA from 1 species